rnacentral:lncRNA from 1 species
CUGGCUUCUGGUUUGAGCUUUUGCUUGGCUAAAUUCUGCUUUUAUCUGAUUCUUUUUCAGAAAAUGCUUAUAGGUGUCAUAAGUUUCUUUAUGUUUGAGAAGGUCUGACUGCUUUCUUCACCCUUGAAUGACAAAGUCACCAGGAAGAACAUCAUGGACUCGAAUUGCUCAAGAAAGUUUAAGACACGGUGAUGGACCGCAGCCCCAUAGAAGUAUUGGAAAUGACACUGCGGAAGGUCAAUGCAAGCCACUGAGAGAGAUUGCAUGACUCCAAGAACUCCGGCAUCUCAGGACUCCGCAACGAUGACGGUUGCUCUGCUGUGCCAACGUUUGCCAAGUCAAGCUACCUUGAGGAACACAAUAAAUCCUGCUCCCUUUUGGCAAGAUCUGCCUCCUUUAAGAGACUGCAUUGUCCUCAAACACAUCAGAAAUUUUUAUUGACAUUGUUUGUGAGAACUUUUCUCUAUUGUUAUUAGAAAUUGUCCCUAAAUAUUAAAAAAUGAGUAUCCAAUGAAAUAUUGAAGUUUCAUUAGUCUGAAAGCAAAAUCUUUAAAAUUGUUGUUUAUUCAAUUGCACAAGAGAGACAAAAAUGAACCGACCAAUAGGCAGUCUAAUCAAUGGUUGAAAAGAUAUAAAUAGUGGUCCUAUUGGUAGGAUGGAGGUGGUUGGAAUUGACUGGGAGGGGCACAAUGGAAUCCUCUGGAGGUAUGCAAAGUUCUGUAUGGUGGUAGGGAUGUGGGUUAUACAGGUGCAUGCCUUUGUCAAAAUGUUAAAUGGUCUUCUUCAGAUUUGAACUUUUAACCACAAAUAAUAUAAUACAGAUAACAAAUAUUGAACUCAAGGUGAUGAUCUGCAUGCCAAAGUAUUUCAGAGUGAAAGAAAAUUAUGUCUGUAGGUUAUUUUGAAAUGCAUCGAAAAUGUUCAUUCAUACUGAUGGAUGAAUAGAGUGAAUAGAAGGAAGGAUGGAUGAAGCACACAAGCAGGUAUAGAAAAAUGUAGAACCUGGGUGGUGGUUAUGUAAAUGUUCACCUUCUCAUUCUUUCAACAUUUCUGUGUUUGAAUAUUUUCAAAAUAUAAUAAACUGAAAGGAAAAAGAUAAACA